UACGGGGGGGGCAAGCGUUGUUCGGAAUUACUGGGCGUAAAGGGCGCGUAGGUGGCCAACUAAGUCAGACGUUAAAUCCCUCGGCUUAACCGGGGAACUGCGUCUGAUACUGGAUGGCUUGAGUUUGGGAGAGGGACGCGGAAUUCCAGGUGUAGCGGUGAAAUGCGUAGAUAUCUGGAGGAACACCGGUGGCGAAGGCGGCGUCCUGGACCAAUACUGACACUGAAACGCGAAAGCCAGGGGAGCAAACGGG
rnacentral:rRNA from 1 species